rnacentral:lncRNA from 1 species
CAGACUUGGCAUUAUGUCUUUUUGUAGGGUGGAAGUCUCUCCUGCCUUCUUAACAUGUGGCCUUAUGUAAUCGUCACUCAGUAAGGCUGGGACAUCCUUAGGAGCAUAACAUUCAGCCGGUUGAUACAGGUGUGGUGGGACCAGAUAGGUACGUAUGUACGGUCGUUGUGUACAGUCGUGCAGGCUGUGCAUUGUCCAAGGGCACCAUCUCUAAGGCACACAUUCACAUCAUAGAUGUAAAUUUGUAUAUUUAUUUUGACAAUUUCCAAGUAAAUGGAAGUGUCUUGAAGAAAGGGCACCUUUUUCUAAUUCCCAUAAGGGUCCCCUAUGGCCUGGCUCCAGCACUAGCCCUGGAACUUGCUGCCUAGAAAUAUUCCCACGGAUCAAUGUGCUUUGGGGCCUUGGUCUUUCUUUUAGCUGGGGUGAAGAGGACCCUCUGGGGCAUUGUACCCCAGCUGCCACUUGUGCGGAAGCAAGUGACCGACAGUCUCAGCUCUGGAACAGUCUUCUCCCAGGUGGUUUUUGUCACCUGAAAAUCUUCAUCUUUGCAGUGUCUGGCAUUCACUCUCAUUUUAACAUCACCUUUUUUGUGUGUCCUCCCACCCUCCCUUGUUUCCUGCCUAAGAGAGAGUCUGGGGUGGGAAGGAGGCAUCUCCCUCUCAUCUCAGGACUCUGCUUCUCUACUGUGGUCAUCUCUGCAGAUCCUCCAUCUGAUGUUUCUGCAGAUGUAGUGCUGGGUAUUGCACAACUCUGCUGGUCUUCUCCUCAAAGUGGAUUUCUGUGCCAGUUGAAAGGAUUGGGUUUGGCUCAUCAGAACAGAAAAAUUAAAAAAAAAAAAAAAAAAGAAAACAAAACAAAAGAGAAAGAAAAGAAAAAAUGGAUUAAAUUAGAUAUAGGAGUUUCUCACAUAAAAGUAUGUCUGCACAGGACUUCCCUGGUGGCGCAGUGGUUGAGAGUCUGCCUGCCGAUGCAGGGGACACGGGUUCGCGCCCCGGCCUGGGAAGAUCCCACAUGCCGCGGAGUGGCUGCGCCCGUGAGCCAUGGCCGCUGAGCCUGUGCGUCUGGAGCCUGUGCUCCGCAAUGGGAGAGGCUACAACAGUGAGAGGCCCGCGUACCGCAAAGAAAAAAAAAAAAGUAUAUCUGCACAGAGUCA